AUGGCUUCUUCUGGUUCCGUGACGAGGCCACCAUGUGCUAACCGCGAGGAUAUGCCGGACAAGUGGACAGACGCCGAGUUGGAUAAGGUGAAGGACAAAGAUAUGAGAACUCCAUCAUGUUGGUGUGGAGAUGUUUGCAAAGUUAAGGUAUCCACCGACCGCAAGAAAUCAUGGAUGGAAGGAAGAAGGUAUUUUGUUUGCCCCAACUAUGCCUACGAUCGUCCUCGUCCAGCUCACGCCUAUGAUGUACCGCCGGUAAGUUGUUCAAGUUCAAACAUGUCGUCAACCAUUGAAUCUAUCUUACUAAUGACACCACAUUUCUUCUUUAUUCGUUCUCCACUUUGUAAGUACUUCGCAUGGAUAGAUCAAGAUGUGCCAGAAGAUGUUAAGAAAGAUCAACAUCGAGAUUGUCUAAGGAGGCAGCGGUUGUUUGAAGAAGCAUUUCAGAGAGGCGUGGAUGAAGAGCGUCGUGAAAAGGAGAGGAUGGAGCGCAAGAAGCGUGAAGAGGAGAGGGCACGCAAGGAGAAGAUUGCUCGUCAAGAGGAGAGAGCAAGAAAGCUUGCAAGGGCUCGUGAAGCCCAAGAGGAGGAUGAGGCACACGACAAAAAAGGAAAAUGGCCUCGUGUGACCCAAUAA
rnacentral:rRNA from 1 species